rnacentral:ncRNA from 2 species
CUGUGAAGCAAGUGUGAUGGGGUCUUUCUACGGGAAGACUGAAAAGGGAACCGUGUGCGAACCUUGUGUUCAAAGCACGGGCUGCCCCCGCAACUGUAAGCGGUGAGUGCCUGCGUUGGGCGCCCUGAAAAGGGCGGGUCACUGGCUGGUAAGCUGGGAAGACAGACGCAGGCAUGAUGAUCCGCAAGCCAGGAAACCUGCCAUCCGCAAAGCGUGACU